rnacentral:pre_miRNA from 1 species
AAUAAGUGCAACCGUGGAAAUCCGUGUCCAACGUUUGACCGUCCGUCUUAUUUAAAAAAAUUAUAAUUUUUUUUUAAAAAAUAGUCACACAUAAAGUAUUAUUCAUGUUUUAUCAUCUAAUAACAAUAAAUAUAGUAAUCAUAAAAUUUUUUCAAAUAAAACAAACGAUCAAACGUUGAAGAUGAAUAGUGUAAAACUGUAUUUAUU